rnacentral:SRP_RNA from 1 species
CGGUGGGUCUUAGGCGGGGGGCUAGGGGUCCUCUGAAAGGCUUUGCCUUGACCGUAAAUCCUCUAUAUGACGGGCUGACAGCUGAGAUUGAGGCGUCAAAGAGCGUUGAGCUCCGCUCAUACUUGCAGUGAAUGUCCGUCCUUUGGGGCUGACGGUCAUGGAGCUGUCUCCGUAAGGUGACAGUUUCCGUGUCUAUUAGGCGAAUCUGGCCAGGCCCGGGAGGGAGCAACCUAAGUCUAGACGUUUAGCGCUCAAAGGGGUGCGGAUACGAGACAAGAAUAAGCUGUGGGCUCAACGAAAACUAGGCGCCAAACCUCUGUGACCCACUG